CAGCCAUCUUGGGACAGUGAUGCAGCCCCAAGUUGAAGCUGCUGGAGUUCAGAGGGAGAGAGCGUUCUGUAGGGAAACCACACUCCCUGGCCACGGUGACCCGCCGCUCUGGGGCUUUUCCCAGCUUGCUUUGGUACCAGACACUUCUGGAGGGCCUUCACUUCAGAGGACCCGGGCACCCAGGCAGCUGGGGAAAGGAGGUGGUGCCAGGCCACCCUGUGCUUCCCUAGAGAGGGGAGAGGUGGCGUGGCCUGUGGCUUUGGCAUUUUCGUGGGAAGUAGGAGACAGCAUCUAUGCCCAGAAACAGUCACCAUUUGCCCUGUGACCCCGGGAGAGCUGCCGCGAUGGUCUGGGCUUUAACUUGGAAGCCCUUUGGAAUAGGGUUUUCAGGACUGGAGGCUCCAGGCAGAGGACGAUCACCAAGCCUUGUCUCCCCCACAUCAGAAGGUGGGACUGAGAGCGUGUAUGGGGGCUCCAGGCACCAGCAAGAUUCUUUGCCACCUGGAGAGACACCCUACGGGGGGCGUCGGCAGCUGGCACAUGAAACCAGGGUCUGACUAGGCCCUGUUUUGGUCUCCAGUGACCCUCACUGGUCAUCUCCUAUAAUUAUUGUCCUGUUUCCUGUCCGUCUGGGGACAAGGGGCCUGGGACAGUGGGGCUCUGGCAAUGCUGUGUCAUCUUUCUUUCUUCUCUUUAAUGUUUUUUAAAUGCUUAUUUAUUUUUGAAAGACAAAGAGCACAAGAGGGAGACACAGAAUCCGAAGCAGGCUCCAGGCUUGGAGCUGUCAGCACAGAGCCCGAUGCGGGGCUCGAACCCACGAACCGUGAGAUCGUGACCUGAGCCAAAGGCGGGCGCUUAACCGACUGAACCACCCAGACGCCCCGCGUCUUCUUUCUGACAACAAAUAACGUGUGGCUUUUCCACACUACAACCAAUUCUGUACUCUCUGAAACCAACCCUGUGUCCCAUAAUUCAAUCCUUUUCUGACGCUAACGACCCAGAGUUAGUGUCAGACCCCCCAGGUCACAGGGCUCAGUCCCACAAGACCACCCCCACUCCAAACACCAGUCACAAGUCCUGACUGACUGGCUGUAAAUCAUGAGUUCUCACAGCCUCCUCUCAGGUGCAAUAAUUCCACAGAACGACUCACAGAACUCAGAGAAACACUUUAUUUAUGUUCACCAGUUUAUUAGAAAGGACGCGACCGAUGGAAGAGACGCUCAGGGUAAGAAAUGAGGGAGGGGUGGGGUGGCAGAACUCCCCCGCCCUCCCUGCGCACCAUAUCCCCAGCACAUCAGUAUUUUCACCAGCGCGGAAGCUCUCCAAACCCUGUUGGUUAGGGGGUUUUAUGGAGGCUCCGUUAUGGAGGCAUGGUUGAUUAAAUCAAUGGCUGCUGGUAAUUGGAACUCAAUCUCCAGUCCCUCUCUAGAGUUCCAAACCUCUAACCCAGGCUCAGGCUUUCUGGCCACCAGCCCCCAUCCUGAAGCUGUGUAGCCCCCCCCCCCCACACACACAUUCCAACCCAGCUGGAGUCCUGGCAUCAGCACGCAAAAGACACUCUUAUCACUCAGGAAGAUUCCAAGGGCUGGAGGAGCUCUUUGCCAGGAACCCCGGACGAAGACCGGACCAGAUGUUUUUAUUUUAUUUUAUUUCAUAUAGUAUUUUUUAUUAUACCACAAGCAACUUGCAGUUACCCUCCAGUCCUCAGCGGGACGACCAAGUGUGGGCUGAGCUUGGGUUUCUCAAACAUCCCCCCAAAGCAUAUCUUUGGGUCACCAGGCAGACCCCCAGGGUUUUUUCCAGUGGGACGUUUUCUAGGGCAGCCCCACCCUGCACAUUGUCUAGUUAAUCAGGCCCUAAGCGAAAGACCCAGAGAGACAGAAAGGAGGGUAAAGAUACUCUCCCAUCGCCUUUGAGCCCCUUCCUGGAGGACCUGAGAGCAUCCGUCCUCAUUUCCCGGGCUGAGUCUCCAUGUCUCGGGAGCAGGACCCGCGCAUUCCUUGAUAAAUAACGCAUCUAAUCCCAGUUUUUCAGGAGCUCACCUGGUCCAGACUUCACGAUAGGGACUUCUCUUCCUCCUCCUCCCACCUGAACAUGCAAACACCCCAUCUCCCCAGAGGGUAGAGAGGCCAGAACAGACUUCUGGGAGUGUGUGGACAGAGACACGAAAACAAACUUGGCCCCUGGCAAUUUUCCUCUCUGGGUUUUAUAAACCAGUGCAGUUUCUGAGUGAAAUCGGAUCCAUGUGGGUCCUGAUUCAUUUGCGCACUGGGAAAGUGUUUGUGCAUGAGAGAGAAGGAGAUCCCAGGGGCCCCUUUCAGUUGAUUUAACAAAUCCCUUUCAAGCUUUUAUUUUUUCAUUAGGAAGCAGAAGUUGCUUGUUCCCAAACCACACACGCACACAAAGGCACAUAUACACACACCUCACUGGUUUCAAAUUCUGUACCUCUCCAGGCCCUUCAGCCUGGAAUGUCCCCAUGAACCAAGAGUUAGGAGACACUUUUCCAUCUCCCCCACUUAGCACCUGCUGAGAAAGGGCCCAAGAAAGAAGUCUAGGAAGAACUUGCAGGAACUGGGUGGAAAGGAGGAGGGUGCCCUCCUGCCCUGGGAAGCCAGUGCCCUUGCAGCCUCCUGUGUCAGAAGGACAGUGGUGGCUCCAGACCCACCUUUCUCCCGUCUGGGUUCAACUUCAGUUUGGUGGGAGGGUCUUGGGCUAAGAACAAAGACCCAAAGGGGAGGGGGACGGCCUGAGCCAUGCCGUUGGUUUCCCAUUGUCUCUGCUGGGCAGGACCUUCCAGAAGCACCCACAGCAGCCCUUCACCCACAACAUCAGACACAGACUCCAAGGUAAAUGGAAGAGAAAUGGAGUCCAGGGAGAGCUCAGCUGUGGUCCCAGCUCCCCGGUUACUGGCUUUGUGAACGUGACCACGUCACUGAACCACUGAGCCUCAUUGCCCUGUCUCUGCAACAUCUAUAAUCUGAUUACCUUCCAGAAACCAAUGAGGAUGGGCACGAAGGUACUUUGUAAACUGCUAAGUCCUAUGGAAAGGUGAGGUGUUGGAAGUACCUAUCUUGGGAGGUGUCAGUUAACAGUCCUAUUUGUAAAUGUUCUCAGGACAAGGGCUAGGGCAACUUCCCCCAGUCACUGUGUCAUAAGUGACAUAAGGCAAGUCCUUCCUAGCAUCCACUUGAGUUGCUUCUGAAGCAUCUUGCGUCUCACGUCAUCAGAGGACCUGAGCAUGCUGUCCCGUGACAAGUUGUCCCGACUGUCUGUGUGCAUGAACUGUGCACAUGUCCCCCGGUGGGAGAGUGAGCGUGGCCGGGACGGGAGGAGGGCGGGACUCUGGUAGGGUCUCCCCUCUGAGGCCUGGACCUCAGGGAGCAGUGCAGCACCUCCGUUGCCUACCGAGCCACAGAGCAAGGUCUCUCUCCUUCCUUCCUCAGAAGGAAAGUCACCUGAGCCGCUUUGGCCGGUUUUCAAAUCAGUGGGUGUGAAAACGCACCCAGAUCUCAGGUUAUGAAGUGGGUCAUUUUCAUCUGUGCAAUUUGUACCCACUGACCUUGUAGCCUCCCCGAAGAUGGGGUACCUUCUCACCUCCUCCCUCCAACCUAAUCUGCAUCUGAUUUGCUGGCGUAUCUCAGACUCAUCUGCACCUUUUGGAGCCAUUUCCUUCCACUUAGGAGUAAAUGGUGGGGCCAGGGAGCAUGCUGAUGGGAAUGGCACUCACCCAGGGGUGGCCCUUCUUUCUCUCGUGCCCUUCUAGGACCUUGCCUGGCACACAGGGAGGCCCCAGUGCACCGAGCUUUGCAGCCUGCCUCUGUCUGCACCCACAAUGCAAUCACACAACCUGUCUGUGAGCAUAAAAACAGGUUUUCUCUUCUAAUGACUCCCUUAACUGAGCUGGUGGCUGCCCUCCCUCAGGGCCCGUGGGUAAGAGCACGGGAGAAAGACGGCCCCUUGCCUCCGCAUCCCUCGGCCCCUCCUCCCCUCCGUCUCUUGGAAGCAGAGGUGCACAGAUGGACACAUUCCUUGGAUGGGCUCAGCGCGGGGAAGAGGGGAGAGUACGCUGAGCGACAGGAGGUGGGAUGCACGGUCCCCACGGGGCUCCCCCUCUCCUGCCAGCCCCAUCUCGGUUCCAUUAACCUUGCUCCGCAUGUGCUGUGUUAAUGGGCUGGGAAGGACGGAUCACCCUGCUCGCCUACAGAAAGAGCAGCUGCUACAUGUUGCCAACCUCAACGGUGGCUGGGAGGGCGGGACUCAGGGCCCAGGCGGCCCUGGCUUGUGACCUGGCUUCCCGCUGCACCCCUCACCCCUGCCCCAGGGCGAUGUGAAGGGUGAAGGGCAGCCUGAUGCUGACAGGCCUGGAGGAAAAGUCCUCCCUUGAUCCUCGGAGCCCCUCCUCAACAGCAAGGGAGACUCCAUAAUGUCAACUUCCUAAGUGCAGUAAAAGGGUCUUUGACUAAGCAUCCGUUCUAUUAACUCUUCCACUUCCGCCGGUGGGCCUCGGAAUUCACUCACAGGCUUGUGAGGAAGAGGAAGCCGUGAGGCAGGUUUCACGGAAGCAGGAGGACAAGCAAUGUGGCAAGUUGAAUGUCACAGGCUCGAGUGGUGCAGAGACCCAGCACUGGUGAUGCCUCCAUGGCUGAGGAUGGGCACGAAGGUACUUUGCAAACUGCCAGGUCCUAUGGAAAGGUGAGGUGUUGGAAGUACCUGUCUUGGGAGGUGUCAGUUCUAUUUGUAAAUGUUCUCGGGGAAGGGCAAAGGUGGCUAGAAAUCUCCCAGAGAUUUCUCCUUGCCACAUUUCACAGUGCUAUCCCUGAGCGGGGCUAGACCCAGUCUUGUGAAUCGAGGCAGGAUCGCAGUGUCAACGGACAAGGAAAGAAUAAAGCCAUGGGCAUGGGAGGGAGAAGUGAGAAGCCACAGAAGAGAGGGCAGAUGAGUCCUUUUGGUGGUAGAGUCUGGAAAGAGAAGUGCUGGCUUUUGGGGGGCCUUGGGGAACCACCCUGGACCCUCCCCCCAUGUCACCUCGUCUUCCUGCCUAAGCCUCAUGCCACAGCUCCUGUCCUGGAAUGUUGUCCUGAAUAUCUUUGCAGCAAAUCUCCAUGUGCUGGACAGACUCUAGAUAAGCUGGGGGAAAUAGCCCAGGGUUUCCCCAUUUUACCUGAUUAAAAAUCACAUGGGCAGUUUGUUAAACCUACAGAUUCCUGGGUUCUUUCCCAGACCAAAGAGCGGGAUCUCCAGAAUGGAUCAGUACGUGCACUUUUCACCAACACCCAGAGUGGGUCUUACAGCAAGUUUGGGAAACAAUGGCUUACUCUCGUCCCCCUUAAUUCAUCCAUGAAAGACGGCUGAGUUAAGUGAGCACAGCCACACUGCUUAAAAAAGAGGGGGAAAUGCCCAUCUGGGGGUGCAGCCGGGCAAAAAAGGAGACUGCACAAAUUUCUUAACCCUUCUUUUCCUCCCUAGCCCCAAGGCAGGAUAUUCUAACAGUUGGAGCAGUUUCCCCGAGGAUGGAUGUGAUAUCCGGGCCCCUUCCAGGACCAUGAAUUAACUGCUGCUCGGUUACCAUCUUCAGGGGUAGGCAAGAGGAAAAUUCCAGUUCUGGAAUUUUCUAAGUCCAAUCGUCACUACAUAUCCAUUUUCCUCUGCCUCUGUGGUAAUAGAAUUUUCAGCUGAACAACAUAACAGCCGGAAUUCCAGCCUCCCUUUCAGCUUCACGUGGCCACACCACGAAACCGUGGCCAAAGGGAUGUGAGUAAAAGUAACGUAGGCAACUUAUGGAUCAAGGCUGGUAGAAAAGAUGAGGAAGUGAAGGCACCGGGCCGCUGAGCGUCUCGCCAAGUAUUACUUCCGGUGCAACGGGGGCUCGGCCCCUCCCCUCCAGAUGUCCAGCGCAGGCUUCCUCCUGUGACAACCACGCGCAUUUCUCCCAUCCUAUCGCGAUCCAUUACGGUUCCUGCUACUGAUCUCUCUGGGAGCUCAGAUCUGUCUUCAGUCGGGAACUCACAAAGCCUUGUUGUCAGUGGUGUGGAAGAAAUUCAGUUAGAAGCGUCCCCAAGUACAUCUCUGGACCCAUCCUUGGCGGGCAGGAGGGUGAUCUUCUCAAUGAUAUGCAAUCAGUGUUUUUAUCGUCUGGACUUUAAAGACGAGAAGACUGAGGUUCAGAGCCGUUGAGUAGCUUGCCCAAGGUCACACAGCCACUUAAUGACCUAUUCAAGGCCCGGACCCAUAUCCAUCCAGUUUUCUUCUUUACAGUUACAUGUAUGCAGUUGUCUCCUAACCAGACCGUAAGCUCCAUGACGAAAGGGUUUGGAUUCCCACAUCUGAAACGGUGCCAGCAUCCAGGCGCAGAAUGGGCUCUCGGUAAAUAUAUAUUAAGUACGUGCACGAAUAAAUGAACGAGCCCCACUAUGACUAUGUCACGGAAGCAAACGGCUUCAUAUCCACUCCCUACCUGAAGCCCCGGAACAGAGUAGUUAAGGACGGGGCACUGGGGUGUUACACUCCCAGGGGACAAGGGUGAGGUGAGCCUACGCUCUCUGCUCUCUGCAUGGUCUGGACGACAGAGACUGCCUGCCUUACUGUCUCCUAGAUAUUUACUUCAUCACACCCCAGUGCAAGCUUCCCGUCGGUCACACGUCUCCCUGAUAGGCCCCUGCGCCGAAACGCCCCGUGCCCCUUGGCACCCAUGAUCAUGGCGUAGGCAUCCGUCCUCCAUCUUGUCAAACAGCUGUCACACCUUGACAGCAGAUGGCCUUGGCAAUCUUGGCAAUCCAGCCGGACAAGUUUCUACCUGAACUUUGGCUCAGCCAGUGCCUGGAUGGAGGAGUCAGAAAGGAGACCUAGAAAGGAAAGUACCUUCUGUUUUCUCAUUCCCAACCGCACAGGGCUGGGGGAAAGAGAUAUGCUAAUGGCCGUGGGGAAACACCAGUGGGAAUAUACCUGCUUUGGACAGAUAGGAGCUAGGGUCCCCCACUCAUCCCCUUGCCUCCAGGUAUGCCUGCACACAACUCACCUGCGACAGACCUGUUCUUCCACAGCCCCCAGACAGGAAGCUCUCUGAUAUCAUAUCUAUCUGCCACGUUCAGUCCCUCCCCAUGGGCAACGCCACAGGGGUGGGGAAAUCCAACGAUCUGAUGAUUCUCUCCAGGGGCUCGGGAUGGAACAAGCAUCGGUUCUCAGCCCAGCUUCUCAAAUGUAUGUGUUGUUACUGCUGCUAUUUUCCAGGACCUGCUCUAUUUACGCCUCACUCCUCGUUGCUCCUCCUAGGACAAGAGAACUGAAUAAAUAAAGAAGGCAGGCUUAACCCCUCCCUUGGCAGGGAUAGGAAUUUGCCAGAGCCGAGUGGGAGCAGAAAGUCCGCAAGACACACACCUUGGGCCCACAAAAUGCUUUGUAUUUGGCAAAGCAUUUGCUCAUGUAAGCCCCGCAGCUGUGAGAUAUGAAGUCCAUGUUACAGCUUGCAAAAUCACUGGAAGUUUAACAGUCGACCCUCGUGAGCCAAUUCGAGCAGCCCUAGCGCCCCGUCGACCGUGCGGUACUUUCUCAGACAUCGCCCAUCUUCCCACUGAGAGAUCUGCUAGCUACCUAUCAAAAACUGGGGACACUGGGGCUAAGGGGGUGAGGUGAGAUGCCCAAGGCACCUAGCAGCUGGUGUCCUCGAGCAAGGGUGGCCUCAGGAAAAAGUAGCUGGUCUGUGGUCGGGGAGGGUGGGGGAAAUCCGAGAGGGCCAGAGGACGUUUCACACGAGGGCAGUGAGGUCGGCAAAGGUUGUGGAUGAGAGGGAGUUCAAGCCUGUGCUCACGUCGCCAUCACCAGUUCCCCUCAAGCUGCCUGGGCUGGCCUCUUAGAACAGGAUCUUGGCGGAUCUUCGUGGAGACGUAGCUGCACCCUAGUUGCAUAGGCCGUGGUUGAUCAACAGCUUAGCUGCAAAUCACUCGCCGAUCAACAUAAACACCAAGUUCGUCUGCAUGAUGGACGAUCUGCUAGCACCAGCCCCGUCAGAGUCAGUGUAUGAGGAUCAGGCCACAGGGAGUCAGGCAGAGUGUCUAGCUCUAUCUGCCCAAUGCACUAGUGUUUUACUGUCCCAGAACUUAGAGAAGGGCCAAGAGAAGAGUUGAGAGGCAGGAGCUGGCAACCCAAAGCUCAUAGGUGCACCUGCUUGCUGGGUAGGACCUGGUUUCCCUGGGGACAGCCCUACUGUCCCCUGUAAGUCAAGCAGGGCCCUGUUUCAGCUCCCAAGUUCCUUCUCUACGCACCAGUGCCCCCAAAAGGCCCAAAUGACCUUCGGGGCUCCAGAAGUGAGAGUUUUGGUGGCGAGGCCGGGCCCUCCCAAGCCUCCCCAGGCCCACCCAGGUCAUGGAUGUGAAGGGAGAGUGCUGUGUCAUCCUGAACAGCCAGGGAGGCCGAAUGGUGGCCAAAGUGCGGUCACUCAGGUUUCGCCCAGCUUAGAAGCUGAGGGCAGGGCAGGCGUCCUUGGGUUCUGGACCCUGAAACAGGUGAGGGCAGCAGAGAGAGUGUAGUCUGGGUCUGGCCGGAAAGUGGUCUACACCCUGGCUUGUAAACACAGAAAGGAGAGCCCCCAGCCCACCGCUGUCUUUUCUGAUUCCAUUAGCUGUGUGACCGUGGGCAGGUUAAAAAACUUCUCUGAGUUUCCAGUUUCUUCAUGUUACAAGAAAUGAGUUAAUAAUACAAUAAACCCUUGGCUUCCAUGAAUUUAA